CAAUAGCGUAUAUUUAAGUUGUUGCAGUUAAAAAGCUCGUAGUUGGAUUUCGGUUAAGAGCGACCGGUCCGCCGUUUGGUGUGCACUGGUUGGUUUUAACUUCCUGUAGAGGACGUGCUCUGGGUUUAACGACCUGGACUCGGAGUCUACGUGGUUACUUUGAAAAAAUUAGAGUGUUCAAAGCGGGCUUACGCUUGAAUAUUUCAGCAUGGAAUAACACUAUAGGAAUCCUGUCCUAUUUCGUUGGUCUCGGGACGGGAGUAAUGAUUAAGAGGAACAGUUGGGGGCAUUCGUAUUUCAUUGUCAGAGGUGAAAUUCUUGGAUUUAUGAAAGACGAACUUCUGCGAAAGCAUUUGCCAAGGAUGUUUUCAUUAA
rnacentral:rRNA from 1 species